rnacentral:lncRNA from 1 species
UCGAAUACUAGGGAAGGCACUUAAUUAAUAUAAAACUUUAACUUUGCAAACAAGGUUGCCAUUUGUCCACAAGAAUGAACAGAAGAAUUCAAGCAACCAGAUGAAACUGAAAACAUAGGUUCAGCAGGAUGGAUGCCAAAUAAUUUUACCCACAAAUGAAACCGCGCUAAUUUUUGUGAUACUUAAAGCUAUAAAGUUUUCAGUAAUAGUGCUUAUACAUCUUUCGCAGACUUAAUUAGAUAUUUUAUUAUCACAUCAAUAUGCAAGCUUCAGAAUAAAACAGGCUGAUUAUUGUGUCCUACACUAUUUUUUUAUUCUUUUCUUAUUCGUUACAUACUAGUUCUAUCCAAUGUCACAUAGGUCGAGGUUCGACUCGAAACGGGGGACAAUGAAAUGGCUGGUAUGAUGGGUACAACGGCCCGUUUGGGUACGAUGUUUUUUUUGGAAAAAAUAAUAUAUAUAUAUUAUACCUUACUCUGUAAUUAUAUAUGUUUAUUCAGAUAUAUAUAGAGUUUAAUUAAUAAUUUACACAUUUAUUUAUACUUUUUGGAGUUACUUUAAAUAAAGCUAUUUGACUUGUGUAUUAUAAGUUUACUAAUUAUUUUGUGAUUUAUAAGAUGAUUGGGCAUGAAAAAUGAGCUGAUUUGAAAAGCUAGGAAGCACAGGUACCGAAAUUCGUCAAAUUCAAAAAAAUGGGGAUACAGUUCGGGAGGAUACGGCAAUUAUAAAAACUAACAUUCAAAUUAAACCAAAUAANUAUUAGUAUAGUUUUUUACAUUAAUAUGUAAGCAAAAGUUUUGGGAAUUAACUCUAUACAUAUGUGAAAUGUAUGCUUGCAAUAAAUUAUAUAUACACUAGUAAGUUCUGUAUAAUAUUAUAUAUUCAUCUUAUUUUAUUUUUUAACAUUAAAAAAGUGCUCCACAGAAAAGAGACAGCACAUCGUAUGAAGAAGGACAAAGCUAAUGCAAUGGUAGUAUUUUUUUCAGAAUCUGGCCGGCCCACCCCUUUUAUCUUCGAAAUUGGUCAAAUGGGUUUCACUUAAAUAAGCACCCCCCGCCUUGCCACAGGCAGGCAAGGUCAAAUGGGUUACUGGGCCUCGUUAUGCCUCUCGCAUGGGCAAACACAGGGUGUGGCACCCUUUAACGCGAUGAGAUUGAAGUUUGUCAUGAGCACUGGUUAUUUGUUUGGAAUAUGAAAUUUUGGUGUUACCUUUAAGCCUUGGUGAUAUGCUUCAACAGCUGGAAGUGAAAUGGCAGACUUACUGCUUUGCAUCAUGUCCCAAAUCAGAUUCGCAACAGUAAAACCACCAGUCUGCAAAAAAAUAAUCCAUAAUGAUUUCAGUAAUCUAGCCAAACUUUUAUCAUGCCAGGAGUAACGUAUAUUACCUUUUCGCCUGAGGCUAAAAUAAGAAGAUCAUUUCCCAUUUUUGAGCUCAAGAAGAAGUUCCUAGAUGCCAUUUCUUUCUGAAAAUAAGAGGGGAAAAGGAAAUAUCACCCAAGUACUAAAGGAGCAAGCAAUUGCAUCACAUGCAGACAGCCUUUCAUUAAGCACAACAAACUAAAUGUACCAGUUUUUCUUCAGCAAGUUGCAUUCCUUUGGGAGUAUAGCCAACCAUGGCUCCUUCAAUAAAGGUCUGCGGAAAAGUAGUUCAGAAAAAUGAAAGUGUACUUCUACAACUUGUGCACUAAUAAAUCAAAUGAAGCGAAGUUCCCCAAUACACCGAGAGAAAUAAGCCUUAAAGAAAGAUUAUUGUUUUUGUUAAAUAUUUUAAGCGUGCUUUAAGAUAUACUAAUGCAAUGAAAAAAAAAACCUCAAUCUGUUAUAUGUUUCCAGUUACAAAUGAAAAGUGUCACUUUUUUUAUUACUCAAUACCUUGCAGUUUAUAUUCCUGUUAAUGUACUUAAUUGCUUGAAGCCUCUAAACGUUUUUAAUCAGAUAAUGUUCAGCUUUUGACUUCCUGUGAACUUUCAAAUCAUUUAAACAUAGCUUUCCUCAUAUUAAGCUUUUAAAUACCCUCUUCCAAAAUCCAAAUAUUUAAAAAAAUAUUAUGAGUGAAACUUUUCAAUGGUUAGAUUUUACAGAAUUUUCCAUUCUAUCUUUGAAAAAAAAGGAAUUUAAGUUUUAAAAAUAAAAUUCCAAUUCCUGCUCACAACAUUAGCAUACAUCUUGCAAUUAAAAAUUACACCAUCGUCAUCUAUGAUCUAUUAGUGUUCCCAAACAAGGCAAAAUUAAUAUUUUAAGCUUAUUCGUGUCCUAAACAGAUAUGUUUAUUACCAGUAUAUAUAUUCCGUUGUAUGAAAAUCCUUUGAGUUCAUAAAAAUGGCAAAGAAUAGCAGAAAUGAACGGAAAUAUUUUAUAGACAGGAAGGGGAUUCAAAAUCUUACUUCAAGCCAUUUGUCGAAUACUAGGGAAGGCACUUAAUUAAUAUAAAACUUUAACUUUGCAAACAAGGUUGCCAUUUGUCCACAAGAAUGAACAGAAGAAUUCAAGCAACCAGAUGAAACUGAAAACAUAGGUUCAGCAGGAUGGAUGCCAAAUAAUUUUACCCACAAAUGAAACCGCGCUAAUUUUUGUGAUACUUAAAGCUAUAAAGUUUUCAGUA